AAUAAUGAUGACUUAUAAGGUCCCGUUAACGGUGUGAUCACACAUCGUUCGGGUGAAAAGGGAAGUCGGUGCAAAUCCGGCACGGUCCCGCCACUGUAAAACAGGGAUAUUCCUAUAUGCCACUGUUCUGACCAAUAGGUAGAAUGGGAAGGCUGGAACAUCAUUCACCUGCAAGUCAGGAGACCUGCCUUAUAAGCAAAUUAACG
rnacentral:ncRNA from 2 species